rnacentral:rRNA from 1 species
UUUAUCAAAAACAUGUCUCCUUGUGGUUAUUUUAUAUAGGGAGUCGGACCUGCCCGGUGAGUAUUUUAACGGCCGCGGUACCCUGACCGUGCGAAGGUAGCGUAAUUAUUUGCCUUAUAAUUGAAGGCUUGUAUGAAUGGUCUGACUUGAGUAAAUCUGUCUCUUUGUAGUUUUAUAGAAUUUUAUUUUUAGGUGAAAAAGCCUAGAUUUAAUUAGUAGACAAGAAGACCCUAUCGAGCUUUAAAUGAAUUGAUGGAUAAUAUUAAUAUUUAUAUAUGUAAGGCUGACCGCAUAGCGGCGAGAUGUUAUAAGGGGUAGAUGUUUUUGGUGUCUACAUCUUGUUACAAGGCCGGCAGUAUUUAUAUGUGUAUAUAAAAAAUAUUUACUGUUAAAAAUUUUUGGUUGGGGCGACUUGGGAACAAAGAAAACUUCCUUGAUUUAUUAUACUUUCGUGUGUUGAUCCAAAAUUUUUGAUUUAAGGAAUUAGUUACCGUAGGGAUAACAGCAUAAUCUCUUUUGAGAGUUCAUAUCGAAAAGGGGGUUUGUGACCUCGAUGUUGGACCAGAAUGUCCUAAAGAUGCAGAAGUCUUUAAGGGUUGGUCUGUUCGACCAUUAAAAUUCUACGUGAUCUGAGUUAAGACCGGUGUGAGCCAGGUCGGUUUCUAUCUUUAAUUUUUUUUGUAAUCUUAGUACGAAAGGACCAGGUUAUUGCACUUUAUGUUGGAGCCAGAACUAAUAUAAUUUUUAUAUCGCCAAAUUAGCAGAAAUUAAUGCAAUUGACUUAGGAUCAGUGGAUAUGGGCGAAAAUCCUUUAUUUGGUAUGUAAGGAUGGCAGAGUAGUGCAUUAGGUUU